GGCCGGGUGGCGGAACUGGUAGACGCAGCAGACUUAAAAUCUGCCGCUGAAUAAGCGUGAGGGAUCGUAGCCCUUUCCGGCUA
rnacentral:tRNA from 1 species